rnacentral:lncRNA from 10 species
GCGGCCGCCAUGGCGCCGGCAGUGCCAGCGGGCGUCUUGCGACCCGGCUCGGGCUUCGCCACCAUUCACUGUGCUUCUCAAGCCACUUCGGCACUCUAAUUUCGCCCUGCUCUCUCUAGACGAUUUUUAAUACCUGGGAAAGUUACUCCCCAGUCUAACCUAAAAAGGUAGAAUUGAUGGGGUGGGGAAUUAACAGGAAGGCAUGAUCCUCGAGGAUAACGCUGACCAGGCGCUUCUUCCAACAAGCCUGUUUCCCUCUCUGUCGCCACCGUAGGAGUUCCUACAGCUCUCCCGCACAUUCUGUACGGAUUGUUUUUUAGUCAAGACGUUCUGUGCGAGAGGAGAAGUUACUUUAUGAACACCCUAACAGGGGAUCUUACGACCUCUUCCCCGCUCUCCACUCAGUCCUUUUAAAAACGCGAGGCAGGAUGAAGAACGCUAUUGAAGUACAUUCUAAAAUGAUCCCACCUGCAAUUUGGAUUUUUGGAGAAUCGGGAUCGGUGUAAAAUUCUACAUGCAUACACGUAUUUGCACAAGAAUAUUUAUAGCAACGUGGUUUUUAAUAGGAAACUAUCUAAAUGUUCAUUACAAGUGAAUUACAUAAAGCUCAAUACAUCCAUACUACGAAUCACUGAAGAGCUGCUAAAAUAGAUGAAAUAUAUUUAUAAUGGCAUGAACAACCGACACAAGACAGUUGCAGAGUAAUGUGUAUUUGUGAUUACAUUUAUGUUUUUAAGUUAUACAAACGCGUAUGUGCCUACGUGUAUGUAAAUUCAUAGGAAGACAAAUCAGAGGACGGUGGUUACCUGGGGAAAAGCAU